GAUGAACGCUGGCGGCGUGCCUAAUACAUGCAAGUCGAACGCUGGAGAUCUAGCUUGCUAGAUCGAAGGAGUGGCGAACGGGUGAGUAAUACAUAAGCAACCUACCCACGAAGACUGGGAUAAUCUCUGGAAACGGGGACUAAUACCGGAUAGGUAAUCGGAAGGCAUCUUCUGGUUAUUAAAGGUUAAAAACACUGGUGGAUGGGCUUAUGGCGCAUUAGUUAGUUGGUGAGGUAACGGCCCACCAAGACGAUGAUGCGUAGCCGGCCUGAGAGGGUGAACGGCCACAUUGGGACUGAGACACGGCCCAGACUCCUACGGGAGGCAGCAGUAGGGAAUUUUCGGCAAUGGGGGCAACCCUGACCGAGCAACGCCGCGUGAGUGAAGACGGCCUUCGGGUUGUAAAGCUCUGUUGUAAGGGAAGAACGGCAGAUAGAGAAUAUCUAAGUGACGGUACCUUACCAGAAAGCCACGGCUAACUACGUG
rnacentral:rRNA from 1 species